CCCUUAGAUGUUCUGGGCCGCACGCGUGCUACACUGAGUGGAUCAGCGGGUCAGGUUGCGCGAAAGUGUUUCCUAAUCUUGAAAUCCGCUCGUGAUGGGGAUUGACGGUUUCAAUUUUCCGUCAUGAACGAGGAAUACCUUGUAAGCGCGGGUCAUCAUCCCGCGCUGAAUACGUCCCUGCCCUUUGUACACACCGCCCGUCGCUCCUACCGAUUGAGUGGUCCGGUGAGGCUUUGGGAUCUGAGCGGAAAGAGCGUUUCGCUGUUUCUGCUCGGAAAACUCAGUCGAACCUUAUCAUUUAGAGGAAGGAGAAGUCGUAACA
rnacentral:rRNA from 1 species